UACAGAGGUCUCAAGCGUUGUUCGGAAUUACUGGGCGUAAAGCGUAUGCAGGCGGAUCGUUAAGUCGGGGGUGAAAUCCCGAGGCUCAACCUCGGAACUGCCUUCGAUACUGGCGAUCUUCGAGUCCGGGAGAGGUGAGUGGAACUCCGAGUGUAGAGGUGAAAUUCGUAGAUAUUCGGAAGAACACCAGUGGCGAAGGCGGCUCACUGGCCCGGUACUGACGCUGAGAUACGAAAGCGUGGGGAGCAAACAGG
rnacentral:rRNA from 1 species